CUUUGUAAGCAGCAACCCAUACUGUCAUCACUUUAGAUCUGCUCCAUUAUGUGCUCAUUAACCUUAUCGACUUUAGAUUUCCGUGUGACCAAUAUGCCCCCCUCUUGUAAAAAACGACAAUUACUCCCUUCACUCCUGUUUUAUUUGCAUAUAAGUUUUGUCCGAAGUAUAAAAAAACGUAUCAACAUUCCCAAUGCCAAAUCAAUGUUGUUACAUUCAUUAUGAAAUGUGGUUACAUAGUGUAUAUAUUUGAUAUUGUAGAAGUUUGAUUUGACAAAAAUCUAAUAUGCGGAGUAAAAAGGAGCCGAGGCAAUACACUGAGUGGGGUAUACACAUUGUUCAAAAAUAGUUUCCUUUUAGAGUUUAGACCGUCCUCUUUCUCUAAGAGUGAGUUUAGUCCAAGUAAUGAUCCAGUCCUCCAGGCUAAGUGAAAGGGUCGACCGCCGGACGACUCCCUGCCCCGCCAGGCGCCAGCCAGCCGGAGCUGGAAGCGCCUCCCCGGACUGCGGCCGUCGACCCCAGGCACAUCACCGUGCGGCUCCUCCUCCCCGGAUCUCCAAUGCACGCCAAACCCGCAGCAGAGCGCCGCCGCCGCCGCCGCCGGCCAGAUCCUCCUCCUAGCCACCGUCCCAGACCUGCAGCUGCCUCCCCCUGACCUGCACGUGCAUCUCGCCGGCAUCCUCCUCCAGCGGGCUAUGCACAUUGCACAGUGUGUUGCUUGAUUGUUAUCCAAGAACUUUGCACUGCAGGCAACUUCAUGAGUUCUGUAACUGAAAUGGAACAGAUGAAGGAGGGCAAUCUGGGAUGCAUAUCACACGAAGAUCUUUUGCGAAAUACGCAAAGAUGAAACGGCUGCUGGCAAUAGCUAGUCUGGGUGCGUGCUGGAGUGCCGAAGGUUACAAGAACCCUGAGCCCAAAUUCUACAAUAGGGCUGGGAAGAGGUAUGUGAAGAAGCGGUUCAAGCAUAGAUGGGACUCAUUAAAGCAGCAGUACAGAGGGUGGAUGGAACCCAAAUCUUUGACGGUUAUUGGGUCGGAUCCUGGAAGAGGAAUCACUGGGCCGAUGAUGGUUGGUGGAAGAAUCACAUUGCAAGAACCCCAGAGCAUGUGAAGUUCCACAUGGGCCACGGCCAACUUGACUUUGUUGCAUGCUCUGUUCAGGACAGCAAAUGUCACCAAUGAAUCAUCCAUUGUCCCUGGAGAGGACUUAGGAAGACAAUGGAGGAUGAUACUCCAACCAGUAUUACCAACGGGUCAGACGACGAUGUGCUUGCGGCAUUUGCUGAAGCAUCUUCUUGCAACAAGGCUCCUCCUGCCACGGUUCCGAGCCCGAAGGAAGACUUGAUUACAUGAUGACACCAGCAUGUGUGUGCAACUUUGCUCUAGAAAUUGAUUGUCAUAUCUUUGUUCUGGUCCUGAAUAUUUGAAUGAACGGGUGUUGUCAAGCAUCACGUGCACAUUUGUCCAAUGUCAUACAAAUGCAUUAAUUUAACCAGUAGUUCUUAUGUACACCGUCAGUUCCAAGACUUUGUUGGCAAAAUAUAAGCAAAUCAAA